rnacentral:tRNA from 1 species
GGGGGGGUAGCUCAGUUACAGAACUCAUGCUUAGCAUGCAUGAGGUCCUGGGUUCCAUCCCCAGUAUCUCCA